UGGCUCAGGACCGAACGCUGGCGGCGUGCUUAACACAUGCAAGUCGAACGGGAUCCAUCAAGCUUGCUUGGUGGUGAGAGUGGCGAACGGGUGAGUAAUGCGUGACCGACCUGCCCCAUACACCGGAAUAGCUCCUGGAAACGGGUGGUAAUGCCGGAUGCUCCAGUUGAUCGCAUGGUCUUCUGGGAAAGCUUUCGCGGUAUGGGAUGGGGUCGCGUCCUAUCAGCUUGACGGCGGGGUAACGGCCCACCGUGGCUUCGACGGGUAGCCGGCCUGAGAGGGAGACCG
rnacentral:rRNA from 1 species